rnacentral:rRNA from 1 species
CCUACGGGAGGCUGCAGUGAGGAAUAUUGGUCAAUGGACGAGAGUCUGAACCAGCCAAGUAGCGUGAAGGCUGACUGCCCUAUGUGUUGUAAACUUCUUUUAUAUGGGAAUAAAAUGUUCCACGUGUGGGAUUUUGUAUGUACCAUAUGCAUAAGGAUCGGCUAACUCCGUGCCAGCAGCCGCGGUAAUACGGAGGAUCCGAGCGUUAUCCGGAUUUAUUGGGUUUAAAGGGAGCGUAGGUGGAUUGUUAAGUCAGUUGUGAAAGUUUGCGGCUCAACCGUAAAAUUGCAGUUGAAACUGGCAGUCUUGAGUACAGUAGAGGUGGGCGGAAUUCGUGGUGUAGCGGUGAAAUGCUUAGAUAUCACGAAGAACUCCGAUUGCGAAGGCAGUUCACUGGACUGCAACUGACACUGAGGCUCGAAAGUGUGGGUAUCAAACAGGAUUAGAUACCCCGUUAGUC